GAUGAAGAACGUAGUGAAAUGCGAUAAGUAAUGCGAAUUGCAGAAUUUCCGUGAGUCGUCGAAUCUUUGAACGCACAUUGCGCCCACUGGUAUUCCGGUGGGCAUGCCUGUUCGAGCGUCAUUAUCCUCCCUCAAACCCCGGGUUUGGUGUUGGACCCAAGUUGUGUGAACAACUGGUCUUAAAGACAAUGACGGCGUCCGUGGGACCCUCGGUGCAACGAGCUUUUAGGAGCACGCAUCGAGUUGCAAGGACCUUCCGGGCCGGUCUCCUUUACUAUUUUACAAGGUUGACCUCGGAUCAGGUAGGAAUACCCGCUGAACUUAAGCAUAUCAAUAAGCGGAGGA
rnacentral:misc_RNA from 1 species